rnacentral:lncRNA from 1 species
CUAGGAGAUUAGAGUUAGGUAUUUGAAGUUAUUAAAGGUCCUAGAGGGUGAAUAGGCCAUUAACAACUUUUUUUCGUAUAAAUUCGUUCUCAGGGAUAGCAAGGGUUAUAGCUAUCCUGAAUAACAAAUACACAGUAACAAUAAAUAAAAGUUGCAGUAAAGUAACAAUGAACACCAAGAUGUUUUUUACUCGCAGAAACCUUGCAACCAAGGAGAAAAACUGCGUGUCUCUAACUCUUGAGAGACAAAACUUUCCACUAUGUUGAAGUAACUUCUUACAAGAAUAAUAGUUCUAGUGAUACACUACCACAGUGCUAUCCUUCCUAGUCCCAAACUAGUCUAGACCUAUUCCCUCUCUUGUUUCUAAGCUCUUACAACAUGGAACAUUUUUAGAAGCCUUGUUCGUGAAUUCAGCUAACCACUAGCAGAUUCAACCUUGAACGCUUCUCAGAAGUUUCACUCUCAGAAACUUAGCUAUCCUAAACUGAUUCUUUCAUGAACCCAGCUACCUCAGCGGGAUACAUCA